rnacentral:rRNA from 1 species
GACAGAGGUGCCGAGCGUUAGGCGGAAUCACUGGGCUUAAAGCGUGUGUAGGCGGGUCCGUAAGUACCUUGUGAAAUCCCACGGCUCAACCGUGGAACUGCUCGGUAUACUGCGGGCCUUGAGCCAGCUAGGGGCAACCGGAACAAACGGUGGAGCGGUGAAAUGCGUAGAUAUUGGGAGGAACAUCAGUAGCGAAGGCGGCUUCUGGGUCACACCUGACGCUGAGGUACGAAAGCGUGGGGAGCAAACGGGG